UACGUAGGGCGCAAGCGUUGUCCGGAUUUAUUGGGCGUAAAGAGCUCGUAGGCGGUCUGUCGCGUCGGCUGUGAAACCCCGAGGCUCAACCUCGGGCCUGCAGUCGAUACGGGCAGACUAGAGUGUGGUAGGGGAGACUGGAAUUCCUGGUGUAGCGGUGAAAUGCGCAGAUAUCAGGAGGAACACCGGUGGCGAAGGCGGUUCUCUGGGCCUGUACUGACGCUGAGGAGCGAAAGCGUGGGGAGCAAACAGG
rnacentral:rRNA from 1 species